rnacentral:misc_RNA from 1 species
UUUGCACUUCUCUAGGAAAUUUGAAUAUGAACUCUAAUAUCUUGAUGCUGCACACUGCACACAUAUAUGAACAUGCAUACAUAUUGAAUGAAACUCUAUGUUUCCAUGGCGACCACAAGAACCAACCAAGCAGGAAGGUCCUUUAAAAUCUCAAGAAAAAAAACCAUGAGAGUGCAUCAUGAUUGUUAAUAAAUUAUGUGGAUGAGCUCAUUCAGUGAUUCAUGAUACAAAAGUAUUAGCUUCAUGUCAAGGUUAAUGAUCAACAUCGCAUUUCUUAUGCAAAAUGUGUUGGUGACUGAAAUCUGUGUGCCUCUUUGCAGGGAGAGAAACAUUACUGAGCAUG